rnacentral:rRNA from 1 species
UGGGGAAUAUUGGACAAUGGGCGAAAGCCUGAUCCAGCCAUGCCGCGUGUGUGAAGAAGGUCUUCGGAUUGUAAAGCACUUUAAGUUGGGAGGAAGGGCAUUAAGCGAAUACCUUGCUGUUUUGACGUUACCGACAGAAUAAGCACCGGCUAACUCUGUGCCAGCAGCCGCGGUAAUACAGAGGGUGCGAGCGUUAAUCGGAUUUACUGGGCGUAAAGCGUGCGUAGGCGGCUAAUUGAGUCGGAUGUGAAAUCCCCGAGCUUAACUUGGGAAUUGCAUUCGAUACUGGUUAGCUAGAGUGUGGGAGAGGAUGGUAGAAUUCCAGGUGUAGCGGUGAAAUGCGUAGAGAUCUGGAGGAAUACCGAUGGCGAAGGCAGCCAUCUGGCCUAACACUGACGCUGAGGUACGAAAGCAUGGGGAGCAAACAGG